GACGAACGCUGGCGGCGUGCUUAACACAUGCAAGUCGAACGGAAAGGCCCUGCUUUUGUGGGGUGCUCGAGUGGCGAACGGGUGAGUAACACGUGAGUAACCUGCCCUUGACUUUGGGAUAACUUCAGGAAACUGGGGCUAAUACCGGAUAGGAGCUCCUGCUGCAUGGUGGGGGUUGGAGAGUUUCGGCGGUUGGGGAUGGACUCGCGGCUUAUCAGCUUGUUGGUGGGGUAGUGGCUUACCAAGGCUUUGACGGGUAGCCGGCCUGAGAGGGUGACCGGCCACAUUGGGACUGAGAUACGGCCCAGACUCAUACGGGAGGCAGCAGUGGGGAAUAUUGCACAAUGGGCGGAAGCCUGAUGCAGCAACGCCGCGUGCGGGAUGACGGCCUUCGGGUUGUAAACCGCUUUCGCCUGUGACGAAGCGUGAGUGACGGUAAUGGGUAAAGAAGCACCGGCUAACUACGUG
rnacentral:rRNA from 1 species